GAUGAACGCUGGCGGCGUACCUAAUACAUGCAAGUCGAACGGCAGCACGGGUGCUUGCACCUGGUGGCGAGUGGCGAACGGGUGAGUAAUACAUCGGAACGUACCUUAUCGUGGGGGAUAACGCAGCGAAAGCUGUGCUAAUACCGCAUACGCCCUGCGGGGGAAAGCGGGGGAUCGCAAGACCUCGCGCGAUUAGAGCGGCCGAUGCCUGAUUAGCUUGUUGGUGGGGUAAAAGCCCACCAAGGCGACGUUCAGUAGCUGGUCUGAGAGGACGAUCAGCCACACUGGGACUGAGACACGGCCCAGACUCCUACGGGAGGCAGCAGUGGGAAAUUUUGGACAAUGGGGGCAACCCUGAUCCAGCAAUGCCGCGUGAGUGAAGAAGGCCUUCGGGUUGUAAAGCUCUUUUGUCAGGGAAGAAACACCGGCUCUAACACAGUCUGGGAAUGACGGUACCUGAAGAAUAAGCACCGGCUAACUACGUGCCAGCAGCCGCGGUAA
rnacentral:rRNA from 1 species